rnacentral:rRNA from 1 species
GACGAACGCUGGCGGCGUGCUUAACACAUGCAAGUCGAACGAUGAAGAAGAGCUUGCUCUUCGGAUUAGUGGCGAACGGGUGAGUAACACGUGACUAACCUGCCCCUUUCUCUGGGAUAACGCUCCGAAAGGAGUGCUAAUACCGGAUACUCACAUCGAGGCACAUGCCUUGAUGUGGAAAGUUUUUCGGAAAGGGAUGGAAUCGCGGCCUAUCAGCUCGUUGGUGAGGUAACGGCUCACCAAGGCGACGACGGGUAGCCGGCCUGAGGGGGCGACCGGCCACACUGGGACUGAGACACGGCCCAGACUCCUACGGGAGGCAGCAGUGGGGAAUAUUGCACAAUGGGCGAAAGCCUGAUGCAGCGACGCCGCGUGAGGGAUGAAGGUCUUCGGAUUGUAAACCUCUUUCAGUAGGGACGAAGCGAAAGUGACGGUACCUAAGAAGAAGCACCGGCUAACUACGUGCCAGCCGCCGCGGUAA